CCGCUGCUGCAGCCCGCGGUCCCCAGGGCACGGGCACCGCCCAGCCCGCUGCGGAGACCGGGGGACCGUAGCGGCCGCUUACUGAGUGGGGGGGGGGGGGGUCCGUCGGUGAAGCGGGAAAACACGCCCCCCCCCUCGGUGCGGCCGCAGUGGACCGGCCCAGGGAAAAAGGGAACGCGAGGCCCCUCCCGUCACCACGCGCGGCUGCUCGGGUCGCGCAUGCGCGCGGCGGGGGCGGAGCCUGCGGGCCAGGCGGCGGGAGCGGGCCUCGGGCGCUCUGGCCGGGGUCUCGGGGCCUUGGGCACAGAAGAGCGGAGUGUCGGCGCCUGCUGCCCGACGGGACCCGAGGUAACGCCGCAGGCCGGCUUCUCCCCGCCUGGCCCGAGCCCCUCUCCCGCCUGGGCCGUCGGAGCGAGCCCGCCCCGCCCCCGGAGUCCUGACGACCGCGCGCCGCGACGUGCCCCGCCUCUACCGUCCUCCCGGGGCGGGGCCUGUGGUCCGCGCGGCCCGCGCGCUCGGUUCCGGCCGCCCGGGGAGCACCGCAGGGCGUCGGGAGAGCGACGGGAGUGAGCGUGCGUGGAAGUUGGUCCCGAGGAGGAGGAAGCUUUCGGAGCCCCGGUGCCGCCCCGAUGCGACCUGAACGCGCUUCCGAGGCACGGCUGAGUGGGCCCGCGGGGCUGGAGGCGGAGCGGCGUGGGGCCCCGUCCGCCGUCCUGGUCCGGGGUGCUGCGGCGGCGGCCUCGUGCGCGCGCUCUUGGGGGACAUGCCCGUUGGCUUAUCUGCAGGAUGGAUGCCAUUCCUGUGAAAAGCAAGUGUUUCAUGGCAUUGGGAUUGGAGCUUGUCUUUCCUCGUGACUUUCCUGGCCAUUUCCCUGGGAAUCCUGUUCUGCCACUGCUGCUGAAGUGCCCAGUGUCUGCCGUCUUCCGUGGAAUCCUUAUUGUGGCUCACAAGAUCUCUUAGAAUGCCCAUGUCUAUUCUGGGACUCUGAGGUGCUUAGCCUUAAUUACUGAGAAGGAAAAUACAUCAGGAGUUGUUUCAGAACUAUUAUCCCCAAUACGUCAUUUUGGUUAAAGUUCUUAUACUUAGUUUUAGAUAUAUAGUCAUGUGCUGCAUAACAACGUUUCAGGCAACGACGGACCACAUACAUGAUGGUGGUCCUAUAAGAUUAGUACCACAGAGCCUGGGUGUGUAGUAGGCUGGACCGUCCAGGUUUGUGGAAGUGCACUCUAUGAUGUUUGCACAAUGAUGAAAUCACCUAACGAUGCAUUUCUCAGAAUGCACCCCCGUCGUUAAUCGAUGCAUAACUGUACCUGUACUGAUUUCUGAUCAAGUAUGAUUUUGCUGAAAAUUAUACUUUUCAUGCAAAAUAUUUCUCCCUUAUACAAUUAAUUGCAGUAUAAAACUGGUAGGGAAAACAUCAAGCAUUUGGAAUUAAAAAGUUUGAGACAUCAUGUUCUAAACAGUAAUGCCAUCUUUUUCAUUUACAUAGAUAUUCUGGGUGAAGAACAUUAAAUUCCUUGCUAUAAAGGAAUGUUUUCCCUGUGAAAAGUGAUUUCUGUAAUGCUAAUGUGAGAGAGAAAUACAUUAGUUUUGUUGACUUUGGAGAAUCUGAACUGAGAUACCUUAAAAUUUAAUUUGUUAAAUAUUUGGAUUGACUAUGUAUAUAUGUGAUUGCAUUCAAAACAUACACAGCAUUUACUUAGCUAUACCAAUAGAUCCUUUCCCCAAAUAACUAACUUAACCUUGGAGAAAUCUCAUAAGUCUCAAAGGUAGAAUAUAAUAUGUUGACCUAUUUUCAUGGUUUCACU
ensembl:lncRNA